CGGGACGUAGCGUAGUUUGGUAGCGUAUCUGUUUUGGGAACAGAAGGUCAUGGGUUCAACUCCCAUCGUCCUGU